rnacentral:misc_RNA from 1 species
CUGGUUUAUGGCAAGAGCAAAACUUAGCAGAAAAAUGAUCAAGCUGUUGGAGAAAGCUAACGAGCUUAAAAAUGAUGGCAAAGAGUUAGCCAAUUUACUCUCUCAUCAUAAUCGCAGUAAUAAACAAGAGAUCAGAAGAUAAAUGCUGCACAUAAGGUGGUGGAGGAAUCAUGUGGCUGGUGUUCAAUUAGCUUGCUAAUCAGCAAUAGUUUGUGGUCGUAAAUUAGUUGUUCUUGUAUGCAUGGCUUUUAUUGUUAUUAUUUUGGGUUAAUUUAGUUUCUUAUAAUAUUUUACAAGAAAAAUUUGUGUUGGACCUCAGUUUGUUAUAUUAGUACAGGAGAUCAGACAUAUACAGAAAUUUGUCAUUUUGAG